rnacentral:rRNA from 1 species
GACGAACCGUACGAACGUUAUUCGGAAUUACUGGGCUUAAAGGGUGCGUAGGCGGCGUGGCAAGUUGGGUGUGAAAUCCCUCGGCUUAACCGAGGAACUGCGCCCAAUACUGCCGUGCUCGAGGGAGACAGAGGUGAGCGGAACUUAGGGUGGAGCGGUGAAAUGCGUUGAUAUCCUAAGGAACACCUGUGGCGAAAGCGGCUCACUGGGUCUCUUCUGACGCUGAGGCACGAAAGCUAGGGUAGCGAACGGG